rnacentral:rRNA from 1 species
AUACGUAGGGUGCGAGCGUUGUCCGGAAUUACUGGGCGUAAAGAGCUCGUAGGUGGUUUGUCGCGUCGUCUGUGAAAUUCCGGGGCUUAACUCCGGGCGUGCAGGCGAUACGGGCAUAACUUGAGUACUGUAGGGGAGACUGGAAUUCCUGGAGUAGGGGUGAAAUGCGCAGAUAUCAGGAGGAACCCCGGUGGCGAAGGCGGGUCUCUGGGCAGUAACUGACGCUGAGGAGCGAAAGCAUGGGUAGCGAACAGGAUUAGAUACCCUGGUAGUCCAUGCCGUAAACGGUGGGCGCUAGGUGUAGGGGUCUUCCACGACUUCUGUGCCGUAGCUAACGCAUUAAGCGCCCCGCCUGGGGAGUACGGCCGCAAGGCUAAAACUCAAAUGAAUUGACGGGG